GCCUAACACAUGCAAGUCGAGCGGUAACAUUUCAAAAGCUUGCUUUUGAAGAUGACGAGUGGCUGGACGGGUGAGUAAUGCCUGGGAAUUUGCCCAUUUGUGGGGGAUAACAGUUGGAAACGACUGCUAAUACCGCAUACGCCCUACGGGGGAAAGCAGGGUGACCUUCGGGCCUNUGCGCUGAUGGAUAAGCCCAGGUGGGAUUAGCUAGUAGGUGAGGUAAAAGGCUCACCUAGGCGACGAUCCCUUAGCUAGGUCUGAGAGGAUGAUCAGCCACAACUGGGGACUAGAGACACGGCCCAGA
rnacentral:rRNA from 1 species